rnacentral:rRNA from 1 species
CAAUUGAAGAGUUUGAUCAUGGCUCAGAUUGAACGCUGGCGGCAUGCCUAACACAUGCAAGUCGAACGGUAACAGCAGGAGCUUGCUCCUGGCUGACGAGUGGCGGACGGGUGAGGAAUGCUUAGGAAUCUGCCCAGUAGUGGGGGACAACUCCGGGAAACCGGAGCUAAUACCGCAUACGCCCUACGGGGGAAAGCAGGGGAUCUUUCGGGACCUUGCGCUAUUGGAUGAGCCUAAGCCG